UACGAAGGGUGCAAACGUUGCUCGGAAUUAUUGGGCGUAAAGCGCACGUAGGCGGUAUUGCAAGUCCCAUGUGAAAGCCCACGGCUUAACCGUGGAAGUGCAUGGGAAACUGCAGUACUUGAGUACUUAAGAGGAUCGCGGGAAUUCCCGGUGUAGAGGUGAAAUUCGUAGAUAUCGGGAGGAACACCAGUGGCGAAGGCGGCGAUCUGGGAAGAUACUGACGCUGAGGUGCGAAAGCGUGGGGAGCAAACAGG
rnacentral:rRNA from 1 species